GUUGGUUGGUUGGUUGGUUGGUUGGUUGGUUGGUUGGUUAAACACGUUGGAUAGGGUCAAUUGAAACACGGAAAAGAAAACAAAGAAGAUCUUGGACCCUAUAUUAAACACAUGAGACGGAAACAUGAUUGAUUGAUCAUGAUCAUGGAUUGAUUGAUUAGUUGAUUGAUUGAUUUAAUUGAUUGUUGGUUGGUUGGUUGGUUGGUUAAACACGUUGGUAGGGUAAAUUGAAACACGGAAAAAGAAACAAAGAAGAUCUUGGACCCUAUAUUAAACACAUGAGACGGAAACAUGAUUGAUUGAUCAUGAUCAUGAUUGAUUGAUUGAUUGAUUGAUUGAUUGAUUGAUUGAUUAGUUGGUUGGUUGGUUGGUUGGUUGGUUAAACACAUUGGAUAGGGUCAAUUGAAACACGGAAAAAGACACAAAGAAGAUCUUGGACCCUAUAUUAAACACAUGAGACGGAAACAUGAUUGGUUGAUCAUGAUCAUGAUUGAUUGAUUGAUUGGUUGGUUGGUUUGUUGGUUGGUUGGUUGGUUGGUUGGUUGGACCCUAUAAGAAACACAUGAGACGGAAACAUGAUUGAUUGAUUGAUCAUGAUCAUGAUAUUUUGAUUGAUUGAUUUGAUUGAUUGAUUGAUUGAUUGAUUGAUUGGUUGGUGUUGGUGUUGGUUGGUUGGUUGAAAUUCAAACACACAUAAAACUGUUUAAAUAGUGCCAAAACCACAUAAUUUGAUGACCUUGACCUUUGACCUUGUAACCUUCGUCAAGGUCAUUGCUCCACAAGGUAUUGCAAAAGACCCUAUGGGUCAAGGACCUUUUGUUUAAGAGUUUUGCCUAAAAAUGGCUUUUUAAAAACCAUCGAUGGGAGUUAUGUCCCUUACAUGAUGGUAAAAUCAAUAUAGUCAUAAUGUAAAAAAGUUGCCCCUUGAAGUACUUAAGCAUUUUUCACUGCUUAAUUUUUUGUAUCUAUAACCAUUCAAGAAUUAUAGGGAAAUCAAAGACAUAUGAAAAUCUAAAAUAUGACCUUGACCUUUGACCUUGACCUAAUUUUCUAAGUUAGGAAUCAGGGGACUCAAAUAAAACAUUCUAGGGUUAUACGGUUAACGGUUUAUGAGUUAAAAAAACAUACGACAAAUUUAUUCCGUAAAAGAUAGAUAACUCCUAUAAAAUUUCUUUCGAAUCGCUUCGAUCCAAAUUAGCCAAAAUUUCUGAGGAUGUAACGAACAAUUUUGUAAAAGAAUUUUGUCGCUAUCUUUUUUUUUACGAAGGAGAUGCACACACAUUGAAAACAGUGAUAGGGAGAUAACUCUUACAGAAAAUUGUUUAGCAGGGUAAAUUUAAAAGCGCAUAAACUAUACGAUACAUAUACAAAAUAUCUAAGCGACAUAUUGCGAAACAAAUGUUUAUCGCAAGAACAAAAUUGGCGGAAAAAAAAAAAAAAUAAUAAAAUAAAAACAAAUACAUAAGUCUUUCCACAGAAAAGUGGAAAGUGACCUUGACCUUUGACCUUGUAACCUUCGUCAAGGUCAUUGCUCCACAAGGUCAUUGCAAAAGACCCUAUGGGUCAAGGACCUUUUGUUUAAGAGUUUUGCCUAAAUAUGGCUUUUUAAAAACCAUCGAUGGGAGUUAUGUCCCUUACAUGAUGGUAAAAUCAAUAUAGUCAUAAAUGUAAAAAAGUUGCUGCCCUUGAAGUACUUACAUUUUUCACUGCUUAAAUUUUCUGUAUCUAUAACCAUUCAAGAAUUAUAGGGAAUCAAAGACAUAUGAAAAUCUAAAAUAUGACCUUGACCUUUGACCUUGACCUAAUUUUCUAAGUUAGGAAUCAGGGGACUCAAAUAAAAACUUCUAGGGUUAUACGGUUAACGUUUAUGAGUUAAAAAAAACAUACGACAAAUUAUUCCGUAAAGAUAGAUAACUCCUAUAAAAUUUCAUCAGAUCGCUUCGAUCCAAAUUAGCCAAAAUUUUCUGAGGAUGUAACGAACAAAUUUGUAAAAAGAAUUUUGUCGCUAUCUUUUUUUGUUACGAAGGAGAUGCACACACAUGAUAAACAGUGAAUAGGGAGAUACUCUUACAGAGAAAAUUGUUCGUCUUAGCAGGGUGAAAUUUAAAAGCGCAUAAACUAUACGAUACAAUAUGAGAAAUAUCUAAGCGACAUAUUGCCGAAACAAACAUUUAUCGCAAGAACAAAAGUUGGCGGAAAAAAAAAAAAAAUAAUAAUAAUAAUAAUAAUCAGACAAAUACAAUAAGUCUUCUCACAGAAAAGUGGAAGACUUAAUAAUAAUAAAUAUAAAGCAAUUGUUUUGAAAACAAUUGUUAGGCAGUCUUUCCCCUCUGAGAAUGGAUAAUUUGAUUUUUUUUUUAUGAUUGAUUUGGAAAAAAGGGGGGGGGGGUAUUUGUUUUUUUUUGUUUGUUUGUUUGCUUUGGUAUGGGGUCUAUAUUAUUAUUUUACCGGAGAAGUGUCAUGUUUAGUUUGGAAAGUUUUUCUUUUAUUUAGAUACAGCGCGCGCGCAAGAUUGAGGGAGAUCACGUGACGCGGGUUUAUAUAUAAGAAAAACUUAGUCUUUUUAUUUCUCUUUAGGUCGGGACGUUAAACAGACAACAUCUAUAGAGAUGGAAUGUACACAAUGUAAUUUCUUUUGUCAUUGUAGGAAAUUGACAUUUUCAUCACAGUUCACGGGCGUGCAUGUUUUGGAUUUAAUUUGAUCCGGUGUAACUUAAAACACAUUUAUUGAUUAUUUUCUGAUAAUGUACAUUUUUCAGCACCGUGUUUGUAACACAGAUUAAUAUUUCAAUCUCGGAGCGACAUUUAUUGUAGGUUUUUACUGAGAUUUUCGGACCUAGCAAGCGAUUUUUACAGCAUUGCAUUUCUUUUCCCUAGGAAAAGUCUUGAGAGAUAUCGCACCACGUUGUUUUAUGAACCUUUAGUACAUGUAUGCCCUGCUGACUGCAAAUUUUGAGGUCGAUUGUACUUGUAGUUUCAGAGAACAUGUGGAUUUUUUUUUCAGAAGUGACGUAAGAACAAUAUUAAAUUUCAAUUUUUCUUGAAUAAAUGAGAGUUUGCUCCUUCAAUAAACUCAUGGAUAAACAGUCAUACAGAUUGAUUGAUGAUUGAUUGAUUGAUUGAUUAGUUUGGUUGGUUGGUUGGUUGGUUAAACACGUUGGAUAGGGUCAAUUGAAACACGGAAAAAGACACAAAGAAGAUCUUGGACCCUAUAUUAAACACAUGAGACGGAACAUGAUUGGUUGAUCAUGAUCAUGAUUGAUUGAUUGAUUGAUUGAUUGAUUGAUUGAUUGGUUGGUUGGUUGGUUGGUUGGUUGGUUGGUUAAACACGUUGGAUAGGGUCAAUUGAAACAGCGAAAAAGAAACAAAGAAGAUCUUGGACCCUACAUUAAACACAUGAGACGGAAAGAUGAUUGAUUGAUCAUGAUCAUGAUUGUGAUUGAUUGAUGAUUGAUUGAUUGAUUGAUUGAUUAGUGUGUUGGUUGGUUGGUUGGUUGGUUAAACACGUUGGUUAGGGUCAAUUGAAACAGCGAAAAAGAAACGAAGAAGAUCUUGAACCCUAUAAUAAACACAUGAGACGGAAACAUGAUUGAUUGAUUGAUCAUGAUCAUUAUUGGUUGAUUGAUCAUGAUCAUGAUUGAUUGAUUGGUUGGUUGGUUGGUUGGUUGGUUAAACACGUUGGAUAGGGUCACUUGAAACACGGAAAAAAAAAACAAAGAAGAUCUUGGACCCUAUAUUAAACACAUGAGACGGAAACAUGAUUGAUUGAUCAUGAUCAUGAUUGAUUGAUUGAUUGAUUAGUUUGUUGGUUGGUGUUGGUUGGUUGGUUGGUUAAAAACCGUUGGAUAGGGUCAAUUGAAACACGGAAAAAGACACAAAGAAGAUCUUGGACCCUUUAUUAAACACAUGAGACGGAAACAUUGAUUGGUUGAUCAUGAUCAUGAGUAUAUUGAUUGAUGAUUGAUUGAUUGAUGAUGAUUGUUGUUGGUUGGUUGGUUGGUUGUUGUUGGUUGGUUGGUUGAACCCUAUAAGAAACACAUGAGACUGAAAAUGAUUGAUUGAUUGAUCGAUCAUGAUCAUGAUUGAUUGAUUGAUUCAUUGGUUGGUUGGUGGUUGGUUGGUUGGUGGUUUUGUUGUUGAAAUUCAAACACACAUAAAACUGUUUAAAUAGUGCCAAAAACCACAUAAUUUGAUGACCUUGACCUUUGACCUUGUAACCUUCGUCAAGGUCAUUGCUCCACAAGGUCAUUGCAAAAGACCCUAUGGGUCAAGGACCUUUUGUUUAAGAGUUUUGCCUAAAUAUGGCUUUUAAAACCAUCGAUGGGAGUUAUGUCCCUUACAUGAUGGUAAAAUCAAUAUAGUCAUAAUGUAAAAAAGUUGCCCCUUGAAGUACUUAACAUUUUUCACUGCUUAAAUUUUCUGUAUCUAUAACCAUUCAAGAAUUAUAGGGAAAACAAAGACAUAUGAAAAUCUAAAAUAUGACCUUGACUUGUGACCUUGACCUAAUUUUCUAAGUUAGGAAUCAGGGGACUCAAAUAAAAACAUUCUAGGGUUAUACGGUUAACGGUUUAUGAGUUAAAAAAAACAUACGACAAAUUUAUUCCGUAAAGAUAGAUAACUCCUAUAAAAUUUCAUCGAUCGCUUCGAUCCAAAUACGCAAAAUUUUCUGAGGAUGUAACGAACAAUUUGUAAAAAGCAUUUGUCGCUAUCUUUUUUGUUUACGAAGGAGAUGCACACACAUGAUAAACAGUGAAUAGGAGAUAACUCUACAAGAAAAUUGUUCGUCUUAGCAGGGUGAAUUUAUAAAGCGCAUAAACUAUUACGAUACAUAUGAGAAAUUAUCUAAGCGACAUAUUGCGACAACAACAUUUAUCGCAAGAACAAAGUUGGCGGAAAAAAAAAAAAUUAAUAAUAUAAUAAUUAAUCAGAACAAAUACAAUAAGUCUUUCCACAGAAAAUGGAAAGAUUUAAUAAUUAAAAUAAAAGCAAUGUUUUUGAAAAACAAUGUUAGCAGUCUUUUCCCCUCUGUAUGAAGGCAUAAUUGAUUUUUGCUUUUAAUUGAUUGAUUUGAGAAAAAAGGGGGGGGGGGUCAUUUGAGUUUUUUUGUUUGUUUGUUUGUUUGUUUCUGUAUGGGGUCUAUAUUAUUGUUACCGGAGAAGUUUCAUGUUUAGUUUGGAAAGUUUUUAUUUUAUUUUAGGUACAGCGCGCGCGCCAGAUUUAGGAGACAUCACGUGACUUGGGUUUAUAAUAACGAAAACUUAGUAUUUUUAUUUCUCUUUAGGUCGGGAUGUUGAACAGACAACAUGUAUAGAGACGGAAUGUACACAAUGUAAUUUCUUUUGUCAUUGUAGGAAAUUGACAUUUUCAUCACAGUUCACGGGCCGUGCAUGUUUUGGAUUUAAUUGAUCCGGUGUAACUUUAAAACACAUUUAUUGAUUAUUUUCUGAUAAUGUACAUUUUUCAGCACCUGUUUGUAACACAGAUUAGUAUUUCAAUCUCGGAGCGGACAUUUUAUUGUAGGUUUUUACUGAGAUUUACGGACCUAGCAAGCGAUUUUUACGGCAUUGCCAUUUCUUUUCUCUAGGAAAAGCUCUUGAGAGAUAUCUGCACCAAGUUUUUUUAUAAACCUUUAGUACAUGUAUGCCCUGCUGACUGCAAAUUUUGAGGUCGAUUGUACUUGUAGUUUCAGAGAACAUGUGGAUUUUUUUUUCAGAAGUGACGUAAGAACAAUAUUAAAUUUCAAUUUUUCUUGAAUAAUUGAGAGUUUGUUCCUUCAAUAAACUGUCAUGAAUAAACAGUCAUACAGAUUGAUUGAUUGAUUGAUUGAUUGAUUGAUUGAUUGAUUAGUUGGAUGGUUGGUUGGUUGGUUGGUUAAACACGUUGGGUAGGGUCAAUUGAAACACGGAAAAAGACACAAAGAAGAUCUUGGACCCUAUAUUAAACACAUGAGACGGAAACAUGAUUGAUUGAUCAUGAUCAUGAUUGAUUGAUUGAUUGAUUGAUUGAUUGAUUGAUUAGUUGGUUGGUUGGUUGGUUGGUUGGUUGGUUAAACACGUUGGAUAGGGUCAAUUGAAACAGCGAAAAAGAAACAAAGAAGAUCUUGGACCCUAUAUUAAACACAUGAGACGGAAACAUGAUUGAUUGAUCAUGAUCAUGAUUGAUUGAUUGAUUGAUUGAUUGAUUGAUUGAUUGAUUGAUUAGUUGGUUGGUUGGUUGGUUGGUUGGUUGGUUAAACACGUUGGUUAGGGUCAAUUGAAACACGGAAAAAGAAACAAAGAAGAUCUUGGACCCUAUAUUAAACACAUGAGACGGAAACAUGAUUGAUUGAUUGAUCAUGAUCAUUAUUGGUUGAUUGAUCAUGAUGAUGAUUGAUUGAUUGGUUGGUUGGUUGGUUGGUUGGUUGGUUAAACACGUUGGUUAGGGUCAAUUGAAACAGCGAAAAAGAAACAAAGAAUAUCUUGAACCCUAUAAUAAACACAUGAGACGGAAACAUGAUUGAUUGAUUGAUCAUGAUCAUGAUCAUUAUUGGUUGAUUGAUCAUGAUCAUGAUUGAUUGAUUGAUUGAUUGGUUGGUUGGUUGGUUGGUUGGUUGGUUGGUUAAACACGUUGGAUAGGGUCAAUUGAAACACGGAAAAAGACACAAAGAAGAUCUUGGACCCUAUAUUAAACACAUGAGACGGAAACAUGAUUGGUUGAUCAUGAUCAUGAUUGAUUGAUUGAUUGAUUGAUUGAUUGAUUGAUUGAUUGAUUGGUUGGUUGGUUGGUUGGUUGGUUGGUUGGUUGAACCCUAUAAGAAACACAUGAGACUGAAACAUGAUUGAUUGAUUGAUCGAUCAUGAUCAUGAUUGAUUGAUUGAUUGAUUGAUUGAUUGGUUGGUUGGUUGGUUGGUUGGUUGGUUGGUUGGUUGGUUGAAAUUCAAACACACAUAAAACUGUUUAAAUAGUGCCAAAACCACAUAAUUUGAUGACCUUGACCUUUGACCUUGUAACCUUCGUCAAGGUCAUUGCUCCACAAGGUCAUUGCAAAAGACCCUAUGGGUCAAGGACCUUUUGUUUAAGAGUUUUGCCUAAAUAUGGCUUUUUAAAAACCAUCGAUGGGAGUUAUGUCCCUUACAUGAUGGUAAAAUCAAUAUAGUCAUAAUGUAAAAAAGUUGCCCCUUGAAGUACUUAACAUUUUUCACUGCUUAAAUUUUCUGUAUCUAUAACCAUUCAAGAAUUAUAGGGAAAUCAAAGACAUAUGAAAAUCUAAAAUAUGACCUUGACCUUUGACCUUGACCUAAUUUUCUAAGUUAGGAAUCAGGGGACUCAAAUAAAAACAUUCCAGGGUUAUACGGUUAACGGUUUAUGAGUUAAAAAAACAUACCGACAAAUUUAUUCCGUAAAGAUAGAUAACUCCUAUAAAAUUUCAUCGAAUCGCUUCG
rnacentral:lncRNA from 1 species